UACGGGGGGGGCAAGCGUUGUUCGGAAUCACUGGGCGUAAAGCGCGUGUAGGCGGCCCACUAAGUCUGAUGUGAAAGCCCGGGGCUCACCCCCGGAAGUGCAUUGGAAACUGGUGGACUCGAGUCCCGGAGAGGAGAGUGGAAUUCCUGGUGUAGCGGUGAAAUGCGUAGAUAUCAGGAGGAACACCGGUGGCGAAGGCGGCGCUCUGGACGGUGACUGACGCUGAGACGCGAAAGCGUGGGGAGCAAACAGG
rnacentral:rRNA from 1 species